rnacentral:rRNA from 1 species
AUUGAACGCUGGCGGCAGGCUUAACACAUGCAAGUCGAGCGGAGAGAGGUAGCUUGCUACUGAUCUUAGCGGCGGACGGGUGAGUAAUGCUUAGGAAUCUGCCUAUUAGUGGGGGACAACAUUUCGAAAGGAAUGCUAAUACCGCAUACGUCCUACAGGAGAAAGCAGGGGAUCUUCGGACCUUGCGCUAAUAGAUGAGCCUAAGUCGGAUUAGCUAGUUGGUGGGGUAAAGGCCUACCAAGGCGACGAUCUGUAGCGGGUCUGAGAGGAUGAUCCGCCACACUGGGACUGGGAAACGGCCCAGAAUCCUACGGGAUGUAGCAGUGGGGAAUAUUGGACAAUGGGGGGAACCCUGAUCCAGCCAUGCCGCGUGUGUGAAGAAGGCCUUAUGGUUGUAAAGCACUUUAAGCGAGGAGGAGGCUACUCUAGUUAAUACCUAGGGAUAGUGGACGUUACUCGCAGAAUAAGCACCGGCUAACUCUGUGCCAGCCGCCGCAGUAA